UCCUUCGGGAGAUGAUACAGCGGCGAACUGGUUAGUAACAGGUGGGGAACGUGCCCUUCAGUUCGGGAUAACUCCUGGAAACAGGAGCUAAUACCGGAUGAGGCUCCGGGGUCUUCGGGUCCCGGUUCGAAAGAUGCUUCGGUGUCACUGAGGGAUCGUCCCGCCCCCGAUUAGCUAGAUGGUGGGGUAACGGCCCACCAUGGCGACGAUCGGUAGCUGGUCUGAGAGGAUGGUCAGCAACACUGGGACUGAGAUACGGCCCAGACUCCUACGGGAGGCAGCAGUCUAGAGGCUUCGGCAAUGGGCGAAAGCCUGACCGAGCGACGCCGCGUGUGUGAUGAAGGCCUUCGGGUCGUAAAGCACUGUCAGCAGGGAAGAAGGCUCGGGAGGUGUCCCUCCCGGGAUUGACGGUACCUGCAGAGGAAGCCCCGGCUAACUCCGUGCCAGCAGCCGCGGUAAUACGGAGGGGGCGAGCGUUAUUCGGAAUUAUUGGGCGUAAAGAGCACGUAGGCGGACGGGUCAGUCUGAUGUGAAAGCGCUACCGCUCAACGGAGCGUUGCCGUUGGAAACUGCCCGUCUUGAGUAAGGCAGAGGUUGGUGGAAUUCCAGGUGUAGCGGUGGAAUGCGUAGAUAUCUGG
rnacentral:rRNA from 1 species